GGGUUUCUUGCAUUUUUUUUUUUCCCCCCUCAGAGUUCAGUCCUUUCCCCCCCCCCCCCGCCCUUUAGUUUCGCAGUCACGGUGAACGGUUGCUGUGUUUUAGGACCCAAUGAUGAAAUUCACCUGAGACCACAUAGCCAGAGAAGGCCAAACUGAGUUUUGAAUCUAGGCAAUCUUGACCCCAGAGCCUUCCGGCCUAAAGCGUUUGACUCUGUGAUGUCCUCCCCUAAUCCAUGAUGGCCUCAGAGAAACUCCAUUUUGAAUUAAUUCUCCAGAGUUUUAUGAGGCUUCCUCAGAAGACAAGAUGAAGACAUCUUGCUGUGCAUCAGAAUUAAACAGUAACUACUCGAAGAGGAUCUCUCGGCCUGCUUGUGGAGAGGAAGAGGAGAAAGUGAGAGAGGGAAAACAAGUGAGAAUGAGAGAUGGAGACAGGUGAGUUCUGAGAGAGAAAGCCACAAGCAGAGGGCACAAGUGUUGCUCUCUCCAGAAGCUCUGAGGGGAAAUGACUGCUGGUGCAUCUGGGGAAGGGACCACAGGCUUCUGAGCAAGCAUCCCCGUGCUCCAAAGGUGUAAUGGAAACAGUAGAGAGCCACCAGCCCUGCAGGCGAUGUACAGAUAAGAACGAUGGAUAUCACAGUGGCAACGUGUGGGGACAACCGGAAGUUGCCUCCCUGCUCUCCCACCUCCCCACCCGAGGUCUUGGAAAUUCGGAGUAUCCAAGAACUCUGGCACCUACCCGGAUGGGAUGGGGGAGAAGCCCAGGAAAGACAGACAAAGGUUGUCAGGACUACUGCACAUGCAUGUGUUGGUGGCCAACACAAGAGUACCUGGCUGAGGGGUGCGGGUGCAGGCUGGGUGAAACCUAUGUGUUUCCUGUGCCCCAAGCUCUGUACCUAGAGGAAGAGGCUUUUUGUGACUUGCUCGCCUAAGGUGUGUUUUGUGAUUCUACUACCUGGCAGAGGUGUGUUUUGGAAACUGAGUGUUAGUGGAGCCCUGAAAGUUGACUUCCACCAACCCAGAGUCAGAAAUUAAUUAAUUCUAGAGAGUUCUAUUCUUCCACACCUGAACUGUGGAUGGAAUCCAUAGCCACUACACGUGUGCCAGGCCUACCUGAUGGAAGGCUGAGCGAAUCAAAUGAGGUAAUAUAUGUGAAGAAAGUGUUUGAAAACUGGUGACAUGCACACAUGCUUGAGGCAUUAUUAUCAGCAGUUUUGUGCUUCGGGGCCAGAACACUUCUUUUUGUGUAUGAUCCAUAUAAAACAUUAAAUGUCUCUUGGAUGCACUUUACUUGGCAGUGAGAAGGGCUAAGCCUACAAAACUGCAUGUUCACUUUACUCAUGUCAUUGCAUUUGGCUUGUGGAAUGGUCGUUCUAGGUCCUUAGAUCAUUUGUUUGUUUAACAAAGGCAAUACAUGUUCUGUGUACUAUUAAAAAAAAUUGCUGAUUGUGACACUAAAAUUAAAACUAUA